rnacentral:rRNA from 1 species
UACGAAGGGGGCUAGCGUUGCUCGGAAUCACUGGGCGUAAAGCGCACGUAGGCGGCUUCUAAGUCAGGGGUGAAAUCCUGGAGCUCAACUCCAGAACUGCCUUUGAUACUGGAGAGCUAGAGUCCGGAAGAGGUGAGUGGAACUGCGAGUGUAGAGGUGAAAAUUCGUAGAUAUUCGCAAGAACACCAGUGGCGAAGGCGGCUCACUGGUCCGGUACUGACGCUGAGGUGCGAAAGCGUGGGGAGCA